GGACAGGGAUGAAGGACUCUGUAAGAGCAGAGCUUGGUCGGUGCCUGUGGCAGAACACAGACCCUGCAAACAGCCGCCCUCCUGCUCUGCCUCCGAGCGAGAUUCCUUCAUCUGGCUGUGGCAGAGGCUCUCCCUACCUGUCUCCUCUCUCCCUGCGCCUGUGUGCCUUGAAUAUUGAUGGGGACCAUCUCUCCCUGCUGCAGGAUGCCUCGAGCCAGCUGACACCAGGAGGAUUUGCAAACGCAUCGAGCGAGGCUGGAGGCACACGAGUAUCUCCUGCCCCGAGCUGGGAAGAUUUGUCUUCUGGGGCCCGGUGGAGAGGGCCCGGGCUGUGGAGAUGCUGCCCUGCAUGAAGAGCGGAGGCGGCUGCGGCGCUGGCAUUCCUCCCGCUGGGAAGCGAAAAGCCUUGAGAAGAUUGGAUCAUGCAUUAUUUUUACCCUUGCAAAUAGUUCCCAGGCGCAGGGAGCUCAAGCUGUGAAAAAUGCGCAACGCAAGCCCUCGGCGUGCACCGGCUCUCGAAAUGCCCACGUAGGAGCUGAGACCGGACCAUUCGUCUCACGGAUAAAACCUCGGCGGGGCCCCGGCUGGGACCGUUUCACCUCGAGGGGUCUCGGCAGAAACAUGACCCCGCUCUUCCCAAACCUCACCCUCUCCGCAUUGCUGGAGCGGGAAGGUGCA